rnacentral:tRNA from 1 species
UCCCUGGUGGCUCAGACGGUAAAGAAUCUGCCUGCAAUGCAGGAGGUGCAGGUUUGAUCCCUGGGUAGGGAA